rnacentral:rRNA from 1 species
UACAGAGGAUGCAAACGUUGUUCGGAAUUACUGGGCGUAAAGCGCGUGUAGGCUGCCUUGCAAGUCGGGUGUGAAAGCCUGUGGCUCAACCACAGAAUUGCCUUCGAUACUGUAGAGCUUGAGACCGGAAGAGGUAAGUGGAACUGCGAGUGUAGAGGUGAAAUGCGUAGAUAUCGGGAGGAACACCAGUGGCGAAGGCGACUUCCUGGCCUGUUCUUGACGCUGAGGCGCGAAAGCUAGGGGAGCAAACGGG